GAUGAACGCUGGCGGCGUGCCUAAUACAUGCAAGUCGAACGCUGAAGGAAGGAGCUUGCUCUUUCCGGAUGAGUUGCGAACGGGUGAGUAACGCGUAGGUAACCUGCCUGGUAGCGGGGGAUAACUAUUGGAAACGAUAGCUAAUACCGCAUAACAGUAGAUGUUGCAUGAUAUCUACUUAAAAGGUGCAAUUGCACCACUACCAGAUGGACCUGCGUUGUAUUAGCUAGUUGGUGAGGUAACGGCUCACCAAGGCGACGAUACAUAGCCGACCUGAGAGGGUGAUCGGCCACACUGGGACUGAGACACGGCCCAGACUCCUACGGGAGGCAGCAGUAGGGAAUCUUCGGCAAUGGACGGAAGUCUGGCCGAGCAACGCCGCGUGAGUGAAGAAGGGUUUCGGAUCGUAAAGCUCUGUUGUAAGAGAAGAACGAGUGUGAGAGUGGAAAGUUCACACUGUGACGGUAUCUUACCAGAAAGGGACGGCUAACUACGUG
rnacentral:rRNA from 1 species